UUUACUAGAAACUCACGUCACCGCACACUGGAUCUCCAUCGUACCGAGGGUGAACAUUGUACAUAUCUAGGUACCCGCGACUGGCCUUCUCCAAUAAGCCUACGGGCGUAUCGCAGGAUGGGGUUCAUGGCUCAUACCUGGGGCAUACGCGCACUAUGGUUAUGAUCUUGCAGGUUUUUUAGCUGAGGAGCUAGAGUUGGGAUCCGUUGUAGAAUUUUCAGCUAAGGACUGGUCGGUCCCUGAAGAUCUUGGGUAAGGUGCUGAGUGCCCGUGCGAGAACUGUGUUGCAGGACAACAAUAAUGAUACCCGACCUGAGAUUCUUUUUUAUUCUUUGUUAUGUUACCCCUUUUGUGCUUUGGAUACUUAAAUUGUAUUUCUUAUGUAUAUAUCAUGCCAGCGGGCCUACAUGUAA